UUUUUUUUUUUCCCGGUAAAGAAAGAGCUAUAUAAUUGAUAAGAGGGGAAAGAACAGGAAAAAAAAAGGACAACAUUCAAACAUCAGAAUUGUGCUGUGGUUUACAAUGGCUUAAGAAAAAAAAAAAAACUUCCCAUGAAACGUAGGAUAUAUCCAUCACUUUUCUAGCGGCCUUGAGUACGUGCCAGGUUCCAAACCACUCACCAUUAAGACUCAUUUAGCAGCGAGGACGGUAUACUAACUUUGAUCCAAAUUUUUCCAAAUUUAGAUGAAAGCUUUGGGACACGAAGGGAGAACCAGUCAUUAGACAUAGUAGGCCCUGUUAAAGCAAUAAAGAGUAUAGGAGGCCUGCUUGUUGAGGAAGAUUUGUAUUCCUUUCCUUCCAACAUGCCCAUGCCAUAACUGCAUAGAGCAUAAGGACGAAAGAUUGGAUAGGUUUCGAGAAAGAUCUUUUUCUCCCAAAGAGACAGAGAUUUUCAUAAGAAGACUGGGGAUGUAAGACUCCCAGAAGAGAGUAUAAUGCCUUCCAUAUAGUAGAGAAGUAGGGGCAAGUAGAGAACAGGUGGUCCACAGAUCCGCCACCAUUGCAGCCGAGUAUGCAUCCACCCAAGUGUUUGUCGGUCCUCUCCAUAAUUAGAUCUCUAGUAUUGGGCCUUUUCUUCCAGCACAGCCAUAAGAAACAUCCAAUUUUUAGUGGUAAACAAGGUUUCCAAAUAAGGCUACGAAAUUUGCACGCACUCAAGCCUCAUCUCAAGGACAAGUAGGGCCCAGUAGACACGCACGCACGCACGCAAGCACCCCACACAGACGCGUAUGUUCUUUGAAAAAUUGUUGUCAUUUAAGCUGUGAAUAUUUGCUUCUCCUGCUUUCGUUCUUUAUCUUGACUUGUCUAUGGGUCUAUCUCUCUCUUUCGUGGGACCUGGUUGCUCUAAAUGUUAGGGGUGUAUCCAUGGUUCUUCGGUAAGAGAAAUUUAGUACCAGUGGAUGGUGAAGCUGGCCAGUCUUGACUCUGGUUACAUGAAAUAUAGGACAAGCAUUUAUAAGCCACUAAAUAUAGGUAUAAAUUGUGCAGGAAGAUAGCUAGCUACUCCAUGGACCAUUCCUGUCGUAGUUGGAGGCUUGGAUAUAUAAAGCUUGCGACUGCAAUUAAUAUGGUUAUUUGCACAUAAACUCAUCUUCUCUGAUAAAAAAAUUAGAAUGUCUACUAUAUAUAAUGAUGGCCAUAUAUACUACGAUCUAAAAAUAUGUAAAACGGUGUGUGUGUGUAAAGUUUCAUCUGCCAGUGAAUUUUGUCGUACUUCAUGAGGGUGUAACACCAAGAGAAGAGUGCCUUUAGUAUUUUUCUUUUUCCUUUUAAGGUGCAUUAGCAGCUUCCCUUUAAUAAGUUUGAUACCAGUUGAUCCGCUAAGUUUUUUAUAACAAAAUUGUUCACAUAGGCCAACAAGUUUUAGCUUGGUUGUCAUCUUUGGAGGAUAUCCAGAAUUUAAAUCCUGGAUAUUACUUUAAAAAAAAAAAGGGAUUUGCAGAUGCAUGACAAAAAAAAAAAAAAGUACUUGAAAGAUAAAAUAAGCCAAAUUGAUAGAUGCUCUUCCUUUUAUUGUUGCAUGCACGGGUUAUCUCCUUUCAAAAUAGUGCAUUGACUCGAGGACUGAAAUAGCAAAGGAAGAUUGGUGGUUAAUUUAUCAAUUCAAAACAGUAUGCUUAAAAUAUAAAGUAAACCAAAUUGAUUGAUUCACUUUCACUUUUUUUUUUUCAUUGCUCUUCUUCUUAUUCUCUCUCUUAAGGACCACAAAAAAGGAUUGGCUUGUUAUCAUUUAAAUAUAUAACAUGUUUAAAUUAGGCCGAUGGUCAGGCGGUGGAUCAAAAAAGAAUCUGAAUUAAUAAUACAAAGUAGUCUUAUCCUUUUAGACCAAAGGGUAGGAUUAGUCUCCAACUUGAAUACAAAUUGUAAAAUACGCAUGCAAGAAUCAUAAUAAUUGGUAGAAUAAAGGAGGUAACAAAGAAUUUGUUUUGCAAUCUUGUUACAACAGGCUUUAAUAAAGUAUGCAAUAAAGUAUGUGUGCCUUCAGAAAGAAGAUAAUGGCAGGAGGUUGACGUUGAUUGACAAAAUUUAAGAGAGAGAGAGAGAGAGAGAGAGAGAGAGA
rnacentral:lncRNA from 1 species